GACGAACGCUGGCGGCGUGCUUAACACAUGCAAGUCGAACGGUGAAAGCGGAGCUUGCUCCGCUGGAUCAGUGGCGAACGGGUGAGUAACACGUGGGCAACCUGCCCCUCACUUCGGGAUAACUCCGGGAAACCGGGGCUAAUACCGGAUAUGACCUCCUUGGGCAUCCUUGGAGGUGGAAAGUUUUUCGGCGAGGGAUGGGCCCGCGGCCGAUCAGCUUGUUGGUGAGGUAGUGGCUCACCAAGGCGACGACGGGUAGCCGGCCUGAGAGGGCGAGCGGCCACACUGGAACUGAGACACGGCCCAGACUGCUACGGGAGGCAGGAGUGGGGAAUAUUGCGCAAUGGGCGAAAGCCUGACGCAGCAACGCCGCGUGCGGGAUGACGGCCUUCGGGUUGUAAACCGCUUUCAGCAGGGAAGAAGCCGCAAGGUGACGGUACCUGCAGAAGAAGCACCGGCUAACUACGUGCCAGCCGCCGCAGUAA
rnacentral:rRNA from 1 species